UACGUAGGGGGCAAGCGUUGUCCGGAUUUAUUGGGCGUAAAGAGCGUGUAGGCGGCCAGGUAGGUCAGCUGUGAAAACUCGAGGCUCAACCUCGAGACGUCGGUUGAAACCACCUGGCUAGAGUCCGGAAGAGGAGAGUGGAAUUCCUGGUGUAGCGGUGAAAUGCGCAGAUAUCAGGAAGAACACCCGUGGCGAAGGCGGCUCUCUGGGACGGUACUGACGCUGAGGCACGAAAGCGUGGGGAGCAAACAGG
rnacentral:rRNA from 1 species